ACUGAAAACCGUCCAUGGACGUACCUGUCACUUUCCGUUUAAAUAUAAAGGCGUGACAUAUACAUCCUGUACUGAUGUUGACAGUCCUGGAUGGUACUGGUGUAUAACUGCUGUUGGUUCUUUAAAUUGGGAUUAUUGUCUUGUCAAACAAGAUUCAGCUACAGCAACAACCACAGCUACAGCAACAACCAUAG